UGUCCGGUAAACAUAAGUGCAAGGAUGUGUCAGUUAAAAGGGAAGUAAAGUUAAAAGGGAAGUAUUAUUGUCUUUAGGUCGGUGAUGUCUGACAAAGUUAAGUGCAUCCAGAUGGCCAAUAUAGGAGGUCAUAAAGAUGAGUUAAGGAUGCGUCAACAGUUAAGUGCCUUUAGGACCGGGUGCACCCUGGAAGAGAACCUGUCCUGGCGUCAUCGCAUGCGGUCAUCUUCAAGCUCUCUCGUCUUGCCUUCCGUCCGAGUCGGAGCUUUUCGUCAGUCUCCCGUGGUUUUUAGAGAAUUAAAAAUGUGAAAAUCACAUGAGAAAAGGACAUUGUCCUAGGCACAUUUAACAAAAUCCAUUCAAUGUUAAUCAUCUGUGCAGUAUGGUAACUGAAAAUUCUACUAAUGGCAGAGACAGUGUACUUACACAUCCUCUGUUAAUCAUUAGAUUUAAAUAAAAAUAACUAAACAUCUGAGAUCGGAAGA
rnacentral:lncRNA from 1 species